GAUGAACGCUGGCGGCGUGCCUAAUACAUGCAAGUCGAGCGAACGGACGAGAAGCUUGCUUCUCUGAUGUUAGCGGCGGACGGGUGAGUAACACGUGGAUAACCUACCUAUAAGACUGGGAUAACUUCGGGAAACCGGAGCUAAUACCGGAUAAUAUUUUGAACCGCAUGGUUCAAAAGUGAAAGACGGUCUUGCUGUCACUUAUAGAUGGAUCCGCGCUGCAUUAGCUAGUUGGUAAGGUAACGGCUUACCAAGGCAACGAUGCAUAGCCGACCUGAGAGGGUGAUCGGCAACACUGGAACUGAGACACGGUCCAGACUCCUAAGGGAGGCAGCAGUAGGGAAUCUUCCGCAAUGGGCGAAAGCCUGACGGAGCAACGCCGCGUGAGUGAUGAAGGUCUUCGGAUCGUAAAACUCUGUUAUUAGGGAAGAACAUAUGUGUAAGUAACUGUGCACAUCUUGACGGUACCUAAUCAGAAAGCCACGGCUAACUACGUG
rnacentral:rRNA from 1 species